UAGUGGCGAACGGGUGAGUAACACGUGGGCAAUCUGCCCUUCACUCUGGGACAAGCCCUGGAAACGGGGUCUAAUACCGGAUAACACCGGCUUCCGCAUGGGGGCUGGUUAAAAGCUCCGGCGGUGAAGGAUGAGCCCGCGGCCUAUCAGCUUGUUGGUGGGGUAAUGGCCUACCAAGGCGACGACGGGUAGCCGGCCUGAGAGGGCGACCGGCCACACUGGGACUGAGACACGGCCCAGACUCCUACGGGAGGCAGCAGUGGGGAAUAUUGCACAAUGGGCGAAAGCCUGAUGCAGCGACGCCGCGUGAGGGAUGACGGCCUUCGGGUUGUAAACCUCUUUCAGCAGGGAAGAAGCGAAAGUGACGGUACCUGCAGAAGAAGCGCCGGCUAACUACGUGCCAGCAGCCGCGGUAAUACGUAGGGCGCAAGCGUUGUCCGGAAUUAUUGGGCGUAAAGAGCUCGUAGGCGGCUUGUCACGUCGGGUGUGAAAGCCCGGGGCUUAACCCCGGG
rnacentral:rRNA from 1 species